rnacentral:rRNA from 1 species
AAUAGAUACCCGGGUAGUCCACGCCGUAAACGAUGGAUGCUAGCUGUUAUGCGUAUCGACCCGUGUAGUAGCGAAGCUAACGCGUUAAGCAUCCCGCCUGGGGAGUACGAACGCAAGUUUAAAACUCAAAGGAAUUGACGGGGACCCGCACAAGCGGUGGAGCGUGUUCUUUAAUUCGAGGCUAAGCGAAGAACCUUACCAGGGCUUGACAUCCUUGGAAUUUCUCCGAAAGGAGAGAGUACUUUAUUGGACCAAGUGACAGGUGCUGCAUGGCCGUCGUCAGCUCGUGUCGUGAGAUGUUUGGUUAAGUCCAUUAACGAGCGCAACCCUUAUGAAUAGUUGUAUUUUUCUAUUCAGACUGCCCCGGUAACGGGGAGGAAGGGGGGAUGAUGUCAGGUCAGUAUUGCCCUUACGCCCUGGGCUAGAAACGCGCUACAAUGGCCGGUACAAUGCGCUGCCAACCCGCGAGGGGGAGCAAAUCGCAUCAAAGCCAGUCCCAGUUCGGAUAAGAGGCUGAAACUCGCCUCUUGAAGCCGGAAUCGCUAGU